GACGAACGCUGGCGGCGUGCUUAACACAUGCAAGUCGAACGGAAAGGCCCUGCUUUUGUGGGGUGCUCGAGUGGCGAACGGGUGAGUAACACGUGAGUAACCUGCCCUUGACUUUGGGAUAACUUCAGGAAACUGGGGCUAAUACCGGAUAGGAGCUCCUGCUGCAUGGUGGGGGUUGGAAAGUUUCGGCGGUUGGGGAUGGACUCGCGGCUUAUCAGCUUGUUGGUGGGGUAGUGGCUUACCAAGGCUUUGACGGGUAGCCGGCCUGAGAGGGUGACCGGCCACAUUGGGACUGAGAUACGGCCCAGACUCCUACGGGAGGCAGCAGUGGGGAAUAUUGCACAAUGGGCGGAAGCCUGAUGCAGCAACGCCGCGUGCGGGA
rnacentral:rRNA from 1 species